AGCGGGUUAAAGAUGGAGCCGGCAGGCGAGGGGCCGCCACGAGGUGCAGGGUCGUCUGGAUGGGGACCCGGGGACAGACGAUGGCCGGGAUCCUCCUCCGUCUAACCCUCCGCGUCCUGACCGGGCCCUGGGCGGAAGGGAUGUCUGCAGAGGCGUGCCCUGAACCUGCAGGAGGGACUGAGGUGUCUAACAUGCCAACCAUCCCAGCUGGAAUACAGGGUUGGAGCUGAACUUCCAAGGAGCCUGACCCCAGGCAUGCUUGGAUGACCACCUCUACCAUCAAGACCUGACACGGUGCAAAAGACACCAAGAAGACGAGAAGGAAGCCAAGACAGAAGAAACCAGAACCCAACCUCUUGUGGGACCGGUCGACCUCCCCAUGCCUGCCACCAACCCUGCUGCCACCUCUGCCGCUACCACCACCAUGGUCUCUGUGGUGACCUCAUCACCCCCUGGCACCUGGGGCUGCCUUGCUUGCCUAAAGCCAACCCAGAGUAAACCCCUUCGACCUCCUUGGGUUUCGUGACAGGCCAUUCCAGUUUAAUUUCACUUCAGAUCUUGAAAUGUCCAAAUUCUUCACCUGGAGGAUAGAAAGGAAAUCUCAGGACAAGUUUGUUGGCUUCAUUUGAAGAAAAGUACCUUAUAGAAGAGCCAUAAGAAUGACGUGGCUUUCAUUCACUCAGCAGAUACAUUGGGACCAUCUCUUGUGCCCACCUUGAGCUUGGUUAGGGGUACAGGAGAUGGGGUCGGGGGCACUGGGAACUAAGGAGGUCUGAACCCAGCCUGGGGGAUGGAGGACUGCCUGGAGGUGGAGGCCAGACCUGAAUGAGUCACACAGGCUAAGUGGGGAGUCAAGAGGUGCAGGCAGUUAGGCCACCACACCUGGCCGCUCAUCUUUUUUAGCAUUGAAUAAUAUUCCAUUGCCUGGAUAUGCCACAUUUUAUCAUUCGCCCAAUGAAGGAUAUCCUGGUUGCUUCCAAGUUUUGCAAUUAUGAAUAAAGCAGUAUAAACAUC